AUUGAACGCUGGCGGCGUGCUUAACACAUGCAAGUCGAUCGGUAACAGGUGUAGCAAUACAUGCUGACGAGAGGCGGACGGGUGAGGAAUAUUUGGGAAUCUGCCCAUCAGCGGGGGACAACCCGGGGAAACCCGGGCUAAUACCGCAUACGCUCUACGGAGGAAAGCCGGGGACCGCAAGGCCUGGCACUGAUGGAUGAGCCCAAAUCGGAUUAGCCAGUUGGCGGGGUAACGGCCCACCAAGGCGACGAUCCGUAGCUGGUCUGAGAGGACGAUCAGCCACACCGGAACUGAGACACGGUCCGGACGCCUACGGGAGGCAGCAGUGGGGAAUAUUGGACAAUGGGGGAAACCCUGAUCCAGCGACGCCGCGUGGGUGAAGAAGGCCUGCGGGUUGUAAAGCCCUUUCGGUAGGGACGAAAGCCCUUGCUCUAAUAAUGCAAGAGGUUGACUUAACCUACAUAAGAAGCACCGGCUAACUCUGUGCCAGCCGCCGCCGUAA
rnacentral:rRNA from 1 species